rnacentral:ncRNA from 2 species
ACGCAAUGUGAUUUCUGCCCA